rnacentral:rRNA from 1 species
GAGGGUUUUCGCCUUCAGUGCUGCAGCUAACGCAUUUAAGUAAUCCGCUGGGGAGUACGACCGCAAGGUUGAAACUCAAAAGAAUUGACGGGGGCCCGCACAAGCGGUGGAGCAUGUGGUUUAAUUCGAAGCUACGCGAAGAACCUUACCAGGUCUUGACAUCUUCUGCCAACCUAAGAGAUUAGGCGUUCCCUUCGGGGACAGAAUGACAGGUGGUGCAUGGUUGUCGUCAGCUCGUGUCGUGAGAUGUUGGGUUAAGUCCCGCAACGAGCGCAACCCUUAUUACUAGUUGCCAGCAUUCAGUUGGGCACUCUAGUGAGACUGCCGGUGACAAACCGGAGGAAGGUGGGGACGACGUCAAAUCAUCAUGCCCCUUAUGACCUGGGCUACACACGUGCUACAAUGGAUGGUACAACGAGUCGCGAAACCGCGAGGUUUAGCUAAUCUCUUAAAACCAUUCUCAGUUCGGACUGUAGGCUGCAACUCGCCUACACGAAGUCGGAAUCGCUAGUAAUCGCGGAUCAGCAUGCCGCGGUGAAUACGUUCCCGGGCCUUGUACACACCGCCCGUCACACCAUGAGAGUUUGUAACACCUCAAAGCCGGUGGGGUAACCUUUUAGGAGCUAGCCGU